UGGGCCUCUUCACCAUCGUCUAAACACCUCGGCCCAUUCAUCAUUUAAUUCAUUAGCCCAUCAGUAUUUAAUUGGUGAAGUUGCAAUUUCACCCUUGAACAUGUGAAGCUGUAUUAUCCUGAUAUAACCUGCACUCAUAUUUAAUUGUAUAUUAGUCCAGUAGUUAUAUGUUUAAACUAAACUUUGUUAAUUACUUCUUUACGGAUAAGAUUUAAAUGACAUGAUCAGCUCAGUGUUUGAAUUAUUCUAUCCAUCUAACUAUUAUCCAAAAUUGUGAAAGUCUGUGGUGCAAAUUAAACAUCAUCAUCAUCAUGCAUUCAUGUCCUUAAAUCAAAUCUCUUCUAGCUUCUACUGCCCAAACAACAAGCAGUAGCAGAACAGGAGGAGAAUGGCCAAGCUUGUGACCAUGCAGCAGCAGCAACACAGAUACAUUCCUUCCAUAUCCCCAUCCUCACUGUCAGAUUUCGGCGGCAUCAGAUUGACAAUCCCAAUUCAGGUUUGUACAGAGAAUUUAGAUCAUAUGUAUAUAGAAAUGAGAUGUGAGGUGAUUAAUAUUAGCAAACAAACAAGCAGCAGAAUCAGCAGCAGAAGAAAAAGGUAUGGCACAGAAAAGGAGGAUUGCAAUUGCAGGCUAUGGCAUCGAGUAGCAGCAAGAAAAUUCUGAUAAUGGGUGGCACAAGAUUCAUUGGGCUGUUCUUGUCUAGGCUUUUGGUGAAAGAAGGACAUGAGGUGACCUUAUUUACUCGAGGAAAAGCACCCAUUAAACAGCAGUUACCUGGGGAAUCUGAUCAAGACUACAACGAUUUUGCUUCCAAAGUAGGUGAUUUGAAUACUUGAUCAACUCAAUUCUGGUUUGCAAGAUUAAUAAUGCAGAUUAAACUGUAUAUAUACUUACUUGUGUGUAGAUUUUGCACUUGAAAGGAGAUAGAAAAGAGUAUGAAUUUGUGAAGAAGAGCGUCGGAGCAGAAGGUUUUGAUGUGGUUUACGACAUAAAUGGUAGGGAGGCAGUUGAAGUUGAACCUCUGUU
rnacentral:lncRNA from 1 species